rnacentral:rRNA from 1 species
GAUGAACGCUGGCGGCGUGCCUAAUACAUGCAAGUCGAGCGAACGGACGAGAAGCUUGCUUCUCUGAUGUUAGCGGCGGACGGGUGAGUAACACGUGGAUAACCUACCUAUAAGACUGGGAUAACUUCGGGAAACCGGAGCUAAUACCGGAUAAUAUUUUGAACCGCAUGGUUCAAAAGUGAAAGACGGUCUUGCUGUCACUUAUAGAUGGAUCCGCGCUGCAUUAGCUAGUUGGUAAGGUAACGGCUUACCAAGGCAACGAUGCAUAGCCGACCUGAGAGGGUGAUCGGCCACACUGGAACUGAGACACGGUCCAGACUCCUACGGGAGGCAGCAGUAGGGAAUCUUCCGCAAUGGGCGAAAGCCUGACGGAGCAACGCCGCGUGAGUGAUGAAGGUCUUCGGAUCGUAAAACUCUGUUAUUAGGGAAGAACAUAUGUGUAAGUAACUGUGCACAUCUUGACGGUACCUAAUCAGAAAGCCACGGCUAACUACGUGCCAGCAGCCGCGGUAAUACGUAGGUGGCAAGCGUUAUCCGGAAUUAUUGGGCGUAAAGCGCGCGUAGGCGGUUUUUUAAGUCUGAUGUGAAAGCCCACGGCUCAACCGUGGAGGGUCAUUGGAAACUGGAAAACUUGAGUGCAGAAGAGGAAAGUGGAAUUCCAUGUGUAGCGGUGAAAUGCGCAGAGAUAUGGAGGAACACCAGUGGCGAAGGCGACUUUCUGGUCUGUAACUGACGCUGAUGUGCGAAAGCGUGGGGAUCAAACAGGAUUAGAUACCCUGGUAGUCCACGCCGUAAACGAUGAGUGCUAAGUGUUAGGGGGUUUCCGCCCCUUAGUGCUGCAGCUAACGCAUUAAGCACUCCGCCUGGGGAGUACGACCGCAAGGUUGAAACUCAAAGGAAUUGACGGGGACCCGCACAAGCGGUGGAGCAUGUGGUUUAAUUCGAAGCAACGCGAAGAACCUUACCAAAUCUUGACAUCCUUUGACAACUCUAGAGAUAGAGCCUUCCCCUUCGGGGGACAAAGUGACAGGUGGUGCAUGGUUGUCGUCAGCUCGUGUCGUGAGAUGUUGGGUUAAGUCCCGCAACGAGCGCAACCCUUGAGCUUAGUUGCCAUCAUUAAGUUGGGCACUCUAAGUUGACUGCCGGUGACAAACCGGAGGAAGGUGGGGAUGACGUCAAAUCAUCAUGCCCCUUAUGAUUUGGGCUACACACGUGCUACAAUGGACAAUACAAAGGGCAGCGAAACCGCGAGGUCAAGCAAAUCCCAUAAAGUUGUUCUCAGUUCGGAUUGUAGUCUGCAACUCGACCACAUGAAGCUGGAAUCGCUAGUAAUCGUAGAUCAGCAUGCUACGGUGAAUACGUUCCCGGGUCU